rnacentral:rRNA from 1 species
UUAACUAGGAUUAGAUACCCUAUUAUUAAGAAAAAUUAUAUUGUUAGUAUAUAAAUUGUAUGAAAACAAAAAAUUAUGGCGGUAUUUUAAGCUUUUCAGAGGAAUUUGCUCUUUAAUGGAUAAAACACCUAAAUCUUACUAAAUUUAGUUAAGCAGUUUGUAUACCACUAUUUAAGUAAUAAUUUGCUAUUAUUACUAAAAUUUAUAUUAAUUAAAAAAAGUUAAGUCAAGGUGCAGCAUAAAUUUUAGUAUGAAGUGAAUUACAUUUCUUUUAAGAAAAAUUUGUUGAAAAUAAAAUUUAGGAUU